rnacentral:rRNA from 1 species
GAAUGCUGACAUAAGUAACGAUAAAGCGGGUGAAAAGCCCGCUCGCCGGAAGACCAAGGGUUCCUGUCCAACGUUAAUCGGGGCAGGGUGAGUCGACCCCUAAGGCGAGGCCGAAAGGCGUAGUCGAUGGGAAACGGGUUAAUAUUCCCGUACUUGGUGUUACUGCGAAGGGGGGACGGAGAAGGCUAUGUUGGCCGGGCGACGGUUGUCCCGGUUUAAGCG